rnacentral:rRNA from 1 species
GACGAACGCUGGCGGCGUGCCUAAUACAUGCAAGUCGGACGCAGGUGAGAACGGGUGAGUAACGCGUAGGUAACUACCUAUUAGAGGGGGAUAACCAUUGGAUACGAUAGCUAAUACCGCAUACUAGGAGAUGGCUCUUCGUUGUAUUAGUUAGUAGGUAGGGGAAUGGCCUACCUCGGAAACGAGACCUAGACGACCUGGGAGGGGGAUCGGCCCCACUGGGACUGAGACACGGCCCAGACUCCUACGGGAGGCAGCAGUAGUGAAUCUGCGGCAAUGGGGGGAACCCUGACCGAGCAACGCCGCGUGAGUGAAGAAGGUUUUCGGAUCGUAAAGCGCUGUUGUUAAGGAAGCGGUACUUAACCAGAAAGGGACGGCUAACUACGUGCCAGCAGCCGCGGUAAUUC